UACGAAGGGGGCGAGCGUUGUUCGGAAUUACUGGGCGUAAAGGGCGCGCAGGCGGUCCUUCAAGUCAGAUGUGAAAGCCCCGGGCUCAACCUGGGAACAGCAUUUGAGACUGGAGGACUUAAGGACGGGAGAGGAGAGUGGAAUUCCCAGUGUAGAGGUGAAAUUCGUAGAUAUUGGGAAGAACACCAAUGGCGAAGGCAGCUCUCUGGUCGACCUCUGACGCUGAGGUGCGAAAGCGUGGGGAGCGAACGGG
rnacentral:rRNA from 1 species